AUUACAUCCAAGAGGAAAUAAUCCAGGCAAGGAAGCACAAGCUAAUCAAGUUGUGUAGUUCUGUGGCUGCCAAGUUGUGGUUUUUGACAGAUCGUCGCAUCAGGGAAGACUAUCCUCAAAAAGAGAUUUUACGAGCACUGAAGGCCAAAUGUUGUGAGGAGGACCUGGACUUUAGGGCUGUGGUGAUGGAUGAGGUGGUGCUGACAAUCGAUCAAGGAAACCUGGGUCUGCGGAUGAAUGGAGAGCUAAUCAGUGCCUACCCACAAGUGGUGGUAGUCAGAGUACCAACCCCUUGGGUGCAGAGUGAUAAUGACAUCACUGUUUUGUGCCAUCUAGAGAAGAUGGGAUGCCGGUUAAUAAACCGACCUCAAGCCAUCCUGAACUGCGUUAAUAAGUUCUGGACAUUUCAAGAGUUAGCUGGCCAUGGUGUUCCUCUGCCAGAUACUUUCUCUUAUGGUGGCCAUGAAAAUUUUGCUAACAUGAUUGAUGAAGCAGAAGUACUGGAGUUUCCAAUGGUAGUAAAGAAUACGUGGGGUCAUAGAGGUAAAGCUGUUUUCUUGGCUCGAGAUAAGCACCAUUUGGCUGAUCUAAGCCAUCUUAUUCGCCAUGAAGCACCAUACCUGUUCCAGAAGUAUGUUAAAGAGUCUCAUGGACGGGAUGUACGUGUCAUUGUCGUGGGAGGCCGUGUGGUUGGCACCAUGUUACGUUGUUCAACAGAUGGGAGAAUGCAAAGCAACUGCUCAUUAGGUGGUGUGGGGAUGAUGUGCUCACUGAGUGAACAAGGGAAGCAGCUAGCUAUCCAGGUGUCUAAUAUCCUGGGGAUGGAUGGAUGUGGCAUUGACCUGUUGAUGAAAGAUGACGGCUCCUUCUGCGUCUGUGAGGCCAAUGCAAAUGUAGGUUUCAUCGCCUUUGAUAAGGCUUGUAAUCUAGAUGUAGCUAGUAUCAUAGCAGACUAUGCCGCCUCCCUUCUACCCUCUGGCCGGCUCACCCGGCGUAUGUCCCUGCUCUCCGUGGUGUCCACUGCCAGUGAGACUAGUGAGCCGGAGCUGGGUCCCCCAGCCAGCACUGCUGUUGACAACAUGAGUGCAAGUUCCAGCUCUGUUGACAGCGACCCUGAAAGCACCGAGCGAGAGCUGCUCACCAAGCUCCCAGGGGGCCUGUUCAACAUGAACCAGCUGCUAGCCAAUGAAAUCAAACUACUGGCGGACUGACUCCACCGGUAAUUAACCAACAAAACCCUUGUAAAACUUUCUUUCUUUUUUCUUUUCUAUUUUUGAAACCAACUUGCAAUGCUGUUCAUGGAGGAUGCUCAGCAAGAUGAGAGAAAAUUAGUAGGAUUAGUUGGAGAGAGUGGGAGAUAGAUGAGACCUCUGCUCAUAAGAUGUUACUUUCAUUUACAAAUCCUACAAAUAGAGAGGCAGAAUAGGCGGGGUAUAGAAAAAUGUCAGGCUCUCAUAGUUACCCUUUUAAAUUGCUAAAA